CCUACGGGCGGCAGCAGUGGGGAAUAUUGGACAAUGGGGGGAACCCUGAUCCAGCCAUGCCGCGUGUGUGAAGAAGGCCCUCGGGUUGUAAAGCACUUUCAGUGAGGAAGAACGCCUGGUGGUUAAUACCCAUCAGGAAAGACAUCACUCACAGAAGAAGCACCGGCUAACUCCGUGCCAGCAGCCGCGGUAAUACGGAGGGUGCGAGCGUUAAUCGGAAUUACUGGGCGUAAAGCGCGCGUAGGUGGCUUGAUAAGCCGGUUGUGAAAGCCCCGGGCUCAACCUGGGAACGGCAUCCGGAACUGUCAAGCUAGAGUGCAGGAGAGGAAGGUAGAAUUCCCGGUGUAGCGGUGAAAUGCGUAGAGAUCGGGAGGAAUACCAGUGGCGAAGGCGGCCUUCUGGACUGACACUGACACUGAGGUGCGAAAGCGUGGGUAGCAAACAGGAUUAGAUACCCGGGUAGUC
rnacentral:rRNA from 1 species